AACCUAUGCUGGCGGCACGCCUAACACAUGCAAGUCGAACGAAGUAGCUAUACUUAGUGGCAGACGGGUGAGUAACAUGUAGGUAUCUGCCCUUUGGCCUGGAAUAACACGAGGAAACUUGUGCUAAUACCGGAUAAGUCUUUACGGAGAAAGCUUUAUGCACCAUUGGAUGAGCCUGCACUUGAUUAGUUUGUUGGUGGGGUAAUGGCCUACCAAGACUGUGAUCAAUAGCUGAUUUGAGAGGAUGAUCAGCCACAUUGGGACUGAGACACGGCCCAAACUCCUACGGGAGGCAGCAGUGGGGAAUCUUGCACAAUGGAGGAAACUCUGAUGCAGCGAUGCCGCGUGAGUGAAGAAGGCCCUUGGGUUGUAAAGCUCUUUCGUCGGGGAAGAAAAUGACUGUACCCGAAUAAGAAGGUCCGGCUAACUUCGUGCCAGCAGCCGCGGUAAUACGAAGGGACCUAGCGUAGUUCGGAAUUACUGGGCUUAAAGAGUUCGUAGGUGGUUGAAAAAGUUAGUGGUGAAAUCCCAGAGCUUAACUCUGGAACUGCCAUUAAAACUUUUCAGCUAGAGUAUGAUAGAGGAAAGCAGAAUUUCUAGUGUAGAGGUGAAAUUCGUAGAUAUUAGAAAGAAUACCAAUUGCGAAGGCAGCUUUCUGGAUCAUUACUGACACUGAGGAACGAAAGCAUGGGUAGCGAAGAGGAUUAGAUACCCUCGUAGUCCAUGCCGUAAACGAUGUGUGUUAGACGUUGGAAAUUUAUUUUCAGUGUCGCAGGGAAACCGAUAAACACACCGCCUGGGGAGUACGACCGCAAGGUUAAAACUCAAAUGAAUUGACGGGGACCCGCACAAGUAGUGGAGCAUGUGGUUUAAUUCGAAGAUACGCGCAGAACCUUACCAACACUUGACAUGUUCGUCGCGACUCUAAGAGAUUAGAGUUUUCGGUUCGGCCGGACGAAACACAGGUGCUGCAUGGCUGUCGUCAGCUCGUGUCGUGAGAUGUUGGGUUAAGUCCCGCAACGAGCGCAACCCUCACUUUUAGUUGCCAUCAUUAAGUUGGGCACUCUGAAAGAACUGCCAGUGAUAAGCUGGAGGAAGGUGGGGAUGACGUCAAGUCCUCAUGGCCCUUACGUGUUGGGCUACACACGUGCUACAAUGGUAUCUACAACAGGAAGCAAGACUGCGAAGUUAAGCAAAUCCCUAAAAGAUACCUCAGUUCGGAUUGCACUCUGCAACUCGAGUGCAUGAAGCUGGAAUUACUAGUAAUCGUGGAUCAGCGUGCCACGGUGAAUGCGUUCCCGGGUCU
rnacentral:rRNA from 1 species